rnacentral:lncRNA from 1 species
UUGGAGUAGAUGUAUGUUCAUAGAACCACACUACUAUGGUUGAUUGUUGGUUGCUUAAAUCCAGUGGCAAAUAUUUCAUGCAUAUUCAGGACGAGAAUAAUUUCACAAUACAUACAAUAGGUAGGUCUUGACAUAUUAGAGGCCAUCCGGGAUGAUGGUCAGGGAAAUUUAGACUGCCACUGGAAACUGAGGGUAUAAUGGAUAGGGGCAGAAAUUU